GACGAACGCUGGCGGCGUGCUUAACACAUGCAAGUCGAACGGAAAGGCCCUGCUUUUGUGGGGUGCUCGAGUGGCGAACGGGUGAGUAACACGUGAGUAACCUGCCCUUGACUUUGGGAUAACUUCAGGAAACUGGGGCUAAUACCGGAUAGGAGCUCCUGCUGCAUGGUGGGGGUUGGAAAGUUUCGGCGGUUGGGGAUGGACUUGCGGCUUAUCAGCUUGUUGGUGGGGUAGUGGCUUACCAAGGCUUUGACGGGUAGCCGGCCUGAGAGGGUGACCGGCCACAUUGGGACUGAGAUACGGGCCAGACUCCUACGGGAGGCAGCAGUGGGGAUUAUUGCACGAUGGGCGGAAGCCUGAUGCAGCAACGCCGCGUGCGGGAUGACGGCCUUCGGGGUGUAAACCGCUUGCGCCUGUGACGAAGCGUGAGUGACGGUAAUGGGUAAAGAAGCACCGGCUAACUACGUG
rnacentral:rRNA from 1 species